GGCGAUGCUUUCGUGAAAAGCAUUCGCUGGGGAAAGGGACACAAAUAAGUGUCCAGAGAUCUGAUGAGAACGAUGAGUAAAGACACAUGGAAAUGGAAGUCUGGAAAUAAUGGCAGUAUGAGCAAAAACUGCGGAGAUUAUGAAAUUGCUGCAUCUCUGCCUUGAAUAAUGAAUUAGACAAAUGGUGGAGAUUCCACUAAUAAAUUAGUGUUUAUACAACUACUAUAACUAUUAAGUGAAAACUAUAUCCUGGGCUCAUCAUAUUCUUCAGAUCUUCAUAUACACGGCAAUGUGAUGAUUUGCCAUCGCACAAUAUUACGCCCAUUGGUCAUGAUGUUGGACAAAGGCUGAAAUAUAAAAGAAAGUUGAACGGGCAAAACAAUCAAAAUGACGCAUAGGAUUAU